rnacentral:rRNA from 1 species
UGGGGAAUAUUGCACAAUGGGCGCAAGCCUGAUGCAGCCAUGCCGCGUGUGUGAAGAAGGCCUUCGGGUUGUAAAGCACUUUCAGCGAGGAGGAAGGUGGUGAACUUAAUACGUUCAUCAAUUGACGUUACUCGCAGAAGAAGCACCGGCUAACUCCGUGCCAGCAGCCGCGGUAAUACGGAGGGUGCAAGCGUUAAUCGGAAUUACUGGGCGUAAAGCGCACGCAGGCGGUUUGUUAAGUCAGAUGUGAAAUCCCCGGGCUCAACCUGGGAACUGCAUUUGAAACUGGCAAGCUAGAGUCUCGUAGAGGGGGGUAGAAUUCCAGGUGUAGCGGUGAAAUGCGUAGAGAUCUGGAGGAAUACCGGUGGCGAAGGCGGCCCCCUGGACGAAGACUGACGCUCAGGUGCGAAAGCGUGGGGAGCAAACAGGAUUAGAUACCCCUGGUAGUCCACGCUGUAAACGAUGUCGAUUUUGGAGGUUGUGCCCUUGAGGCGUGGCUUCCGGAGCUAACGCGUUAAAUCGACCGCCUGGGGAGUACGGCCGCAAGGUUAAAACUCAAAUGAAUUG